UGGAAUGUCAUUUCUGCGUCCAAUUGGAAUUCUUUCGCCUCCAAAAAUUACGUCGUUAUGAAAAAUUAUGCUUGAAAUAUAUUUUUGUUUAUUUAUUUUUUGGACACGAUAACGGUGAUAAAAGUGAAUCUCGGCGCAGUAUUUUACAUAAAUCAAGUGCAGAAAGUGGUCAAUUUCCAAAGAAAAGAUAAUAAAACAUGUAAAUUCGUACAAAAAAAACAAAAAGUGGCUGAAAAACGUUGCGCCUGGAUCAAGUUUCUAUUGAGGAUUGGAAUCUGUGCUGCCCUCGAUGUUGCAGUUCCUGAAAAAGUCGGUCGUAACGCAAAAAAAACUAACAGCAGCCAGUAGUUCAGCACAUCAUAAAAAAAAACCAAAAGCAAAAAGUCAUCGAAGGCCGGUGAUGUCAUCAAUGGCUCAAUUGGAUACGAACCGGUGAACGAUGCUCGAAGCGGAGCAUUGGCUGGAUGUCGUGAGUUUCAAGGCCUCUGCAAAUGUGGACGGAUGUGGUUGGACGGCAGAAAUUGCAAAGUGGUGGCGCAUCGUGGCUUACAGAGAAGUGUCUCUUCAGUUCGGACGGAUAUGAUAGUUUGUCUUAUUUGAGUGUUGAUUGCGAUUUGAUAUCAACUUUUUCGGAAAAUGUUUCGAUGACUGUACAACGGCAACUGACAUAGGCGGACCAAGCGGUUGAACGUCCGGCAAAUGCUGGAAGUGUGUGAUAUGAUCAUGCGCUAGAAAACGACGAGAAAACUCGGAUCUGCAAAUCAAACCAAAUGGAACAAGAUGAAACCCCCGAUUUCGUAACACAUAAGGAAGACGGUUUCAAAUCGUUGGUGAACUCGGACGCGGCAAGAAUCUACAGAAAGUAUUUGGUCAGCAACUCGCCUUGUUACAUUGAUGUGACGGCGACAGUUCUGUCCCACAUUUCGCUGGCACGAUUUUUCGACGAGGCUCAGUAGUAUUUGCUGAAUGUGAUGGAGAAGAACCACCUGAGCCCAUUCCUGAAAAGUAGCUUCUACUGUAAAUACACCUUCGAGGUUCUACCGAGCGACAGUUUAACCUUGACAAACCAUACUCUGCAGUAAAAUGGCUCUGUUCUACUUUAUGGAGUAUCUCGAGCAGAAAGAACACUGUUAGCCAUGUCGGAUACGAGCUAUCAUCGUAAGAAAAACAAACACGAUUGGAGCUGCAACCACAAGCGACAUAAUGCAAAUAGAUUCACGUCAACUGUACAACGACAACCUAAUGUGGAGGUGGAACUCGGUUCCCGGGCUAACGAUCGGUCGUGUGGACGCGUUGGGGCGCAAUGAGCGAGAUUUUGAUAACGCGAAAAGGCAAUGCGAAAGCUGGUGAAUUUGCCCGAGGACAAAGCACAGGAGGAACUAUCCUAGCAGGUGGCGGAGAUGAUUGUUAAGGACAUAUAUAUCGCAUCUUCCAUAUAAAACUUUUAAAAAAUCCAAUAAAUCGAAACAUCAUCGGA